rnacentral:pre_miRNA from 1 species
UAGAUACUCCCUCCGUCCGGAAAUACUUGUCCGAGGAAUGGAUGUAUCUGGAUGUAUUUUAGUUUUAAAUACAUCCAUUUGUAUCCAUUUCUAUGACAAGUAUUUCCGGACGGAGGGAAUACAUA